ncrna:Vibrio cholerae O395 C4 antisense RNA
CAUUAUGGUGGGCUGGGCAGGGGCGCUUCGGCGCGCCGUGUUCCGAUAGAGCGGUAGUACUAACCUUGUCCAGUUCACCACCCAU